UACGAAGGGGGCUAGCGUUGCUCGGAAUCACUGGGCGUAAAGGGUGCGUAGGCGGGUCUUUAAGUCAGGGGUGAAAUCCUGGAGCUCAACUCCAGAACUGCCUUUGAUACUGAAGAUCUUGAGUGCGGGAGGGGUGAGUGGAACUGCGAGUGUAGAGGUGAAAUUCGUAGAUAUUCGCAAGAACACCAGUGGCGAAGGCGGCUCACUGGCCCGAUACUGACGCUGAGGCACGAAAGCGUGGGGAGCAAACAGG
rnacentral:rRNA from 1 species